GCCAAUGUAGCUCAGCGGUAGAGCAACGGUUUCGUAAACCGUCGGUCGCCGGUUCAAUCCCGGCCAUUGGCUCCA
rnacentral:tRNA from 1 species